rnacentral:rRNA from 1 species
CCCUUAGAUGUUCUGGGCCGCACCCGCGCUACACUGGCAGGUUCAUCGAGCUUCAUGCCCUGAUCUGAGAAGAACGGGUAAUCUUUGAACACCUGCCGUGCUUGGGAUAGAUGUUUGCAAUUAUUCAUCUUCAACGAGGAUUGCCUUGUAAGCGCACGUCAUCAGCGUGCAUUGAAUACGACCCUGUAUUCUGUACACACCGCCCGUCGCUCCUACCGAUUGAAGUUUUCGGUGAAUUUACUGGAGAUCCCUUUUGAAGGUGGUUCGCCACUGGAAGAAGUAUUCAAAAGUAAAUGAAUCGAAUGCUUUAGAGGAAGGAGAAGUCGUAACA